UCACUUUUGAAAUAUCAACCAUAUAUAUAUCUAGAGACUUCAUUUCAAUCAAGCAAAUGUGCUUAGAAGAUGACCUUUCCAUGCAAGAUAAGUUAAAUGUGGUGGCAUCAUAAUACUAAAAAACCUGGGCUUAGAUAAUGAUUACGCCAAACCACUGGAUUCAAGAAAAAGCUCGUCAUGCCCAACUAUUGCAUGACAGUAUGUGAGAGCCAACCGACUAAAGAUAUUUUAGGAGAAUAAAAUAUUUGGAGAGCAUUGGAGUAAGGACUGUCAUUCCUGGAAUGGAAGCAUUUAAUUAAAAUGACCAUAAGCCUGAAGUGACUGGGGCAUGGGAAUAUCCUUGAUGAGAAGAUAGUGAAGCAUGUAACACCCUGGGAUAGAUGGUGCUGAUGGAACAUUUUGAGGAGACCCAAGUUGUUGGUGGAGGUGAUGGGAGACUCAGGACAACAGAAAGUAUGGGAUUUUCAAUGCUGCAGAAAUGGGGCUGAUAUGGUUUGGCUCUGUCCCCACCCAAAUAUCACCUUGAACUGUAGCUCCCAUAAUUCCCAUGUGUGGUGGGAGGGACCCAGUGGGAGGUAAUUGAAUCAUGGGGGCUGGUUUCUCCCAUGCUAUUCUCAUGAUAGUGAGUAAGUCUCACGAGAUCUGAUGGUUUUAUAAAGGGGAGUUUCCCUACACAAAUUCUGUCUUGCCUGCUGCCAUGUAAGACGUGACUUUGCUCCUUAUUCACCUUCUGCUGCGAUUGUGAUGCCACCCCCAGCCAUGAGUGAGCCAAACUCACUGUUACUGUGAGUCAAUUAAACCUCUUUCCUUUAUAAAUUACUCAGUCUCAGAUAUGUCUUUAUUAGUAGCAUGAGAACGGACUAAUACAGGGGCUCUGUUCUGACUAGGACAGAAAUUUAACACUUGGCAUCACAGAAUGGCCCCAACCUGAGCUAGCAGUGGGUGAAUGGUCAGCUCACAGUACAAGCUGCUUUUGGUAAACGUCUUGCAGACUGCAACCAGCCUAAAGCUAAAAUCACAGUAAAUAAGCAUGAGCGGAUAUAAAAG
rnacentral:lncRNA from 1 species